rnacentral:rRNA from 1 species
CCUACGGGAGGCUGCAGUGGGGAAUAUUGCUCAAUGGGGGAAACCCUGAUGCAGCGACGCCGCGUGGGGGAUGAAGGUUUUCGGGUUGUAAACCCCUUUUGUUAGAGAAGAUGAUGACGGUUUCUAACGAGUAAGCACGGGCUAACUCCUUGCCAGCAGCCGCGUUAGUACGAGGGGUGCAAGCGUUACUCGGACUCACUGGGCGUAAAGGGCGCGUAGGCGGGAUGGCACGGCAGAUGGGAAAGCCUAUCGCUUAACCAUAGAUCCGCAUUUGAUACUGGUGUGCUUGAGUAUGGGAGAGGUAGGUGGAAUUCGCGGUGUAGGGGUGGAAUGAGUAGAGAUCGAGAAGAAUACUCAUGGCGAAGGC